GUUCUAGAUCCAUUUGUUGCCAUUCUGGAUCCCGUUGGUGCUGUUCUAGGUCUGCUUGAUGCGGUUCUUGAUCCAUUUGAUGCUGUUCUGGAUCCUGUUGGUGCCGUUCUAGGUCUGCUUGAUGCAGUUCUCGAUCCUCUUGACAUCGCUGAUGCUGCUCUAGGUCCGGUCGAUGCAGUUCUAGAUCUGCUUGCUGCUGUUCUAGAUCCAUUUGGUGCCAUUCUGGAUGCUGUUGGUGCCGUUCUAGAUCUGCCUGAUGCCGUUCUCGGUCUGCUUGAUGCGGUUCUUGAUCCCGUUGACAUCGCCAACACCGUUCUUCAUCCAGUUGUUGUUGUUCUAGAUCCUGCUCUAGAUCUAGCCGACUCACUUCUGGAUCCCGUUGGCGCUGUUCUAGAUCUGCUCGAUGUGGUUCUCGAUCCCGUUGACACUGCUGACACCACUCCCCAUCCACUUGAUGCUGUUCUACGCCCACUUGAUGCCGUUCUAGAUCUGCCUGACGUGCUCCUGGAUCCUGCUGACGCCAUUCUAGAUCCAGUUGACGCGGCUCUUGAUGCUGUAGGCGCCGUUCCAGAUCUGCUCCACAUGGUUCUCCAUCCUGCUGCCAUUGCUGGCCCCGUUCUCGAUCCCGUUGAUGCUCUUCUCCAUCUGCUUGAUGUUCUCGACCCCCCUGACGCCGUUCUAGAUCCGACUGACGCUGUUCUCCAUCCCACUGGCACCACCCCCAAUGUUCUCCACCCUGAUGACGCCGUUCCACACCCACUUGACGUUCUUGACCCCCUUGAUGCCGUUCUCGAUCCUGCCGACCCCCUUCUCCACCCCACUGAUGUUCUAGAUCACACUGCCCCCAUUCUCGAUCCUGCAUCCCCAGUUCUCGAUCCUGCCCCCGUUCUUCACCCUCCUGACAACGUUCUUGAUCCUGCAGCCCCUGUUCUUCAUCUUGGAGCCCCUGUUCUUCAUCUUGGAGCCCCUGUUCUUGAUCCUGCUGACAACGUUCUCGAUCCCACAGCCCCUGUUUUCCACCUUGCAGCCCCCCUUCUCGAUCCUGCCCCCGUUCUCGACCCCACAGCCCCCGUUCUUCAUACGCCCCCCCCCGCCCUCGAUCCCGCCGCCCCACUGUGGGUUUCGCCACCUCCUCUGCUUCACCCGGUUCCAAACCCAGAACCAACCACGAAUGGAUGAGGGACGGAACGUAACCCUGCACCAACGACCCCAAAAGGGCCGGCUGCCCCAUUAAACGUUGCAGCAAACGAAAAGCGCGGGGUGAAGGAUCCGGGACCCCCGUCAGAUAACGAAGAAAUCCCGUAAUGACUGGAGGGGAUGCAAAAGUGGGGCUGGGGUCUUCGAACGAAGCCAAACGACCCAGGAGGAGGAGGGCAGGAGCUUCGGGACGCCAAGGAUCGCCGUCGGCCGCCGAACGGGGGAGGGCCAAAGCGAGGAGAGGGGGUAAAAGGGGACGGGGGG
rnacentral:lncRNA from 1 species